rnacentral:SRP_RNA from 1 species
GCCAGGCGUGGUUGUGCACACCUGUAGUCCUGGCUAUAGGAGGCUGAGCUGGGAGGAUCGCUUGAGUCCAGGAGUUCUGGGGUGCAGUGUGCUCUGCACAUAGGGUGUCUGCACUAAGUUCUGCAUCAAUAUGGUGAACUCCGGGCAGCGGCGGGCCACCAGGUUGCCUAAGGAGCAGUAAACAGGCCCAGGUUGGAAACAGCAGGUCAAAAUUCCUGCAUUGAGCAAAGUGCAAGAGCUAUGUUGUGGCUGAAUUAUUACUUUACAAGUACCAUUUCCUGAUAAGUAACUUUUAACUGU